rfam:Oryza sativa (indica cultivar-group) chromosome 8, whole genome shotgun sequence.
UUUUAGAUUUACCAUGAGCAUUCGCGUCUAACUUUUGAUUGUCCGUUUUAUUUUAAUUUUUUUAUAAAUAGUAUUUUUGUUGGUAUGAGAUGAUAAAACAUAAAUAGUACUUCACUAGUGACUUAUGUUUUUAAAUUUUUUUAAAAAAAUUUUAAGUAAGACGGAUGAUUAAAAUUGGACUCGGAAAAUCAUAGUUGCACUUAAA